rnacentral:lncRNA from 1 species
UGCACACGUACACACAGACACACACACACGGGUUCACAGACGACAACACGCAUUACGCUCCGUGCCUGAGUCAGCCGGCCGGGAACCACCACAGAACAGGAAGGUUUUCCAGCAGAAACGCCGCGUCGCUCCCGGGCAGGUGGUGUACAUGGCGUCCAGCUCACAACUCAUGGCUACCACAUCAACUCUUUCCCCACUCUGGAGGGUUAUUCUGUGAGGCUGUUAUGUCCCAAACCUAUGUCUUGCUUGGAUAUUUAUCUCCAUGGGGCAAGAAGAGAAUCGCGAAUGGUUGAAGUUGGAAGUGUCUUCUGGAGGUCAUCUGGUCCAACUCCUGCUCAAGCAGGGCCACAGAGAGCUGGUUGCCCAGAAGCAUGUCUAGAUGGCUUUUGAGUAUCUCCAAGAAUGGAGACUCCACAAUUCCUGGGCAAACUGUCAGUGCCCAGUAACCCUCAUAGUUAAAAGAUCCCUGGGCAACCUGUUUCAGUGCCCAGUAACCCUCAUAGUUAAAAGAAAAUAAAAA